CAUUAGAUAACUAAAAGUUAGUAUUGGUCUCUUAAACCACUCAAUAGUAAAGUAACGCUUACUUCUAAUG
rnacentral:tRNA from 1 species